rnacentral:rRNA from 1 species
AUGGGGAAGCUCACCCAUGUGUUACUUCUUCUGCUGCUUCUUCCCCGGCUUCAGCUUUAUGACCUCAUCGAUGUACAGUAUGCCCUUCCCCUUGUACACUUCCGGAGGUUUACUGCUUCGGACGGCUCCCGCGAAAUGGUGCACCCUGUGCUUGUCGAUGCCAGUGCAGCAUAUUAUGUUGGGUUUGAAGCAGAAGACACGGACGGCGGGUGGAGCGGUGAACUGCACCUCGUGGCUGUAGCCAAGUUUCAGAAACAACUCACGGCCUCCUUGCUCUGUCCUUGCUUUGAAACCAACUCCGACAAGCUUCAGGAACCGAAAGAACUUGGAUUCCAUUGCAACAAGGGAAGUUCGUCUGAGGAUGAACUGUUUGAUUCCGGCUUACCUUCACAAAACAAGGACAAAAGGAUGAAACACCGACUCAAAACUCUGAAGCCCUACUCGGUUCCUCGACUAUUGAAGAUGGGGGUUCACGAUGCCAUAUAUUGA